rnacentral:rRNA from 1 species
GUGCCAGCCGCCGCGGUAAUACGUAGGUGGCGAGCGUUGUCCGGAUUUACUGGGCGUAAAGAGCGCGCAGGCGGUCGUGCAAGUCGGAUGUGAAAUCCCCCGGCUCAACUGGGGAGGGUCAUUCGAUACUGCUCGACUUGAAGGCGGGAGAGGGAAGCGGAAUUCCCGGUGUAGUGGUGAAAUGCGUAGAUAUCGGGAGGAACACCAGUGGCGAAGGCGGCUUCCUGGCCCGUUCUUGACGCUGAGGCGCGAAAGCUAGGGGAGCGAACGGGAUUAGAAACCCUCGUAGUCC